UGGCAAUGAGGAGACACCUGGUGUGUUCAAUUGUAAUCACACCCUCACAUGCUAUUCUGAGCCAGAA